UACGUAGGGUGCAAGCGUUGUCCGGAAUUAUUGGGCGUAAAGAGCUCGUAGGCGGUUUGUCGCGUCUGCUGUGGAAACUCAGGGCUUAACCCUGAGCCUGCAGUGGGUACGGGCAGACUAGAGUGUGGUAGGGGAGAUCGGAAUUCCUGGUGUAGCGGUGGAAUGCGCAGAUAUCAGGAGGAACACCGGUGGCGAAGGCGGAUCUCUGGGCCAUAACUGACGCUGAGGAGCGAAAGCAUGGGGAGCGAACAGG
rnacentral:rRNA from 1 species